rnacentral:rRNA from 1 species
CAGCCGCCGCGGUAAUACGAAGGGGGCUAGCGUUGCUCGGAAUGACUGGGCGUAAAGGGCGCGUAGGCGGCGAUCAAAGUCAGGCGUGAAAUUCCUGGGCUCAACCUGGGGGCUGCGUUUGAUACUUGGUUGCUAGAGUGAGGAAGAGGGUCGUGGAAUUCCCAGUGUAGAGGUGAAAUUCGUAGAUAUUGGGAAGAACACCGGUGGCGAAGGCGGCGACCUGGUCCUUGACUGACGCUGAGGCGCGAAAGCGUGGGGAGCAAACAGGAUUAGAUACCCCUGUAGUCCCUGUCUCUUAUAC